AACAACGUGUGUGUGCCCUCCCAGGACUGCCCCUGUGCCCAUGGGGGGCGCCUUUAUCCCCCGGGCAGCGUGGUGCUUCGUCCGUGUGAGAACUGGUAAGACCCCCACCCCACCCGAUGGUCCCGUGACCCGGGGGCACCCUGCUGUCCCUCCUCAGUGCUGGGGAUGAUGGCCUCCAGUGGGCCAUCCCCCUGGGCCCACAGGCACAGCCGGUCAGCAAUCUGGGGCCUGUGUCCACACCAUCCCCACCAACCUUUCUCUUCCCACCUGUCUCUGUCUGCUGAGGCUGCAGCAACCACACAGCAGACCUGGGGCUUGUCUUCUGACAGUUCAGGAGACUAGAAAUCUAAGAGCAAGGAGUCAGCAGGGUGGUUCCUCCUGAGGGCCGGGAGGGAGAAUCCAUUCCAGAACCUUCUCUUCUGUGGUGGCUGGCGAGCCUUGGCGUCCCUUGGCUUGUAGCUGCCUUCCUGCAACCCGCUCAGGUCGUGAUCUCAUGGUUCAUGGGUUCAAGCCCCGUGCUGGGCUCUGUGCUGACAGCUGGGAGCCUGGAGCCUGCUUUGGAUUCUGUGUCUCCCUCUGUCUCUGCCCCUCCCCUGCUCGUGCUCUGUGUCUCAAAAAUAAAUGAACAUAAAUAAAUAAACAAGUAAAUAAAUAAAGACACCAGUCAUAUUGGACCGUAGUGCCCUCACUGUGACUUGCUCAUCUCUAUAAAGACAUUGUUUCCAAAUCAGGUCACAUUCUGAAUACUGGGCGUUAGGGCUUCAACGUGUGAAUUUGGGGGAAUACACUUCAGCCUGUGACAGUGCCUCCGAACUUCUGCUGUUUUCUUCCAGCUCCUGUGUUUCUGGGCUCAUCACCAACUGCACCUCCUGGCCCUGUGAGGAGGGUGAGGAAGGGGCCUCGCACCUGACUGUGCCCCCUGCUUGCUCCCCACCAGGGGCAGAGUUGGGGGAAGGGAGAAGGGGUGCUCUGCCCAGGCCAGUGCCUCCAGCCUGCGCUCACUUCAUCCUCUCUCUCUCUUGGCCUUUCCCUCGUCUGUACCCCAGGUCAGCCCACGUGGUCCCCCUGGACCCCGUGGAGCGAGUGCUCGGCCUCCUGUGGCCCUGCCCGACGCCACCGGCACCGUUUCUGCACCAGGCCCCCCACCGCGGAACCAUCCAUCCUGGGGCUGCCGUCCCCACUGACGUUGCCUACGCCUCUUUGCCCAGGCUCCGAUGCUGAGGAAGAGCCCUGCCUCCUGGCAGCAUGUGACCGUGAGUCCUGCGGUGCCCAGGAUGGUGCCCUCCAUGCCCUGUGGAUACCUGCUGCCUUGCGCCAGCUGGCCCCCAGCCCUGGCCGGCCCCUCCCCCAGCUGCUCUUUUGCUGUCAUCCCAGGAGCUGGGGGCUGGGGUCCUUGGGGGCCCUGGUCCAGCUGUAGCCGGAGCUGUGGGGGGGGCCUGAGGAGCCGGAUGCGAGCCUGUGACCAGCCUCCACCCCAGGGCCUGGGGGAUUACUGCGAGGGGCCUCAGGCCCAGGGAGAGGCCUGCCAGGCCCUGCCAUGCCCAGGUACCUGCCAGGAACGGGGCACAGGGGUCAGGGAACACUAUGGAGAGACGGGCUGGGGUGGGCGGCACCCACAUGGCUCUCAACCCACCCUGUCCCCUUCCCCAGUGACCAACUGCACCACCAUUCAAGGGGCUGAGUACAGCCCCUGUGGCCCUCCCUGUCCUCGCUCCUGUGACGAUC
rnacentral:lncRNA from 1 species